UUUGGGAUAACCCCGGGAAACUGGGGAUAAUACCGGAUAGAUCAUCUUUGCUGGAAGGCUUGGUGGUUGAAACUCUUCGGGGGCUGUUGGAUGGGUCUGCGGCUGAUUANGUUGUUGCCGGUGUAAUGUACCGUCAAGCCUGUAAUCAGUACGGGUUGUGGGAGCAAGAGCCCGGAGAUGGAUUCUGAGACACGAAUCCAGGCCCUACGGGGCGCAGCAGGCGCGAAAACUCUACAAUGCAGGCAACUGCGAUAGGGGAACAUCGAGUGAUCCUCAUAUUGGGGGUCUGUCCACCCGCCUAAAAAGCGGGUGUUAGCAAGGGCCGGGCAAGACCGGUGCCAGCCGCCGCGGUAAUACCGGCGGCUCGAGUGGUGGCCGAUAUUAUUGAGUCUAAAGGGUCCGUAGCCGGCUUUGCAAGUUUCUCGGGAAAUCCAGCGGCUUAACCGUUGGUCGUCCGGGGGGUACUGCAUUGCUUGGGACUGGGAGAGGCGAGAGGUACUCAGGGGGUAGGAGUGAAAUCCUGUAAUCCUCUGGGGACCACCGGUGGCGAAGGCGUCUCGCCAGAACAGGUCCGACGGUGAGGGACGAAAGCUAGGGGCACGAACCGGAUUAGAUACCCGGGUAGUCCUAGCCGUAAACGAUGCUCGCUAGGUGUCACAACAGUCGUGAACUGUUGUGGUGCCGUAGGGAAGCCGUGAAGCGAGCCACUUGGGAAGUACGACUGCAAGGUUGAAA
rnacentral:rRNA from 1 species